GUCCCAAUCCUUUGUAUUUGAUGCAAUCAUUCAAGGUAUUCAUUAACUCCUCCAGCUCCAUGAUAUCUAAAAAUUUUUUUCUCCAUUUUCUUCUUCUCCUUUCU